ensembl:lncRNA
UGGGACUGUACUUGGGCGGUGGGGACUCCUCUCUGAGAUUUGAAUGAUAAGAAGGAGCAGCUAUUGCAAGACCAUGGGGAGAACAUGCAGGAAGGAGAGAACUGGCUUGCUCCAGGCAAGGAGAAUGUCCUGUGUGUCUGGGACAAGACUGAAGAGAGAAGCAAGAGAUAAGAGCAGUCGUAAGAUUGCCUGUGGGGCCGACAAGAGAGAGAAAUUCUGUAGUGGGAGAUGCAGGCCUACUCGCUUGCCCUGUGGAGCUUUGGCUGAUGUUAAGCAAGUCACCUAGCAUGGAUGAGAGGGACCAAAUUCCCCUGGAGUAUGACCUUUUAGAGGAAGCCUUCCCACAAAGGAUCCCAAAUAUUUGCAAUUCAAGUCAGAGCAAAAGAUUGAUUUUCCUGGUAAAUAAAGAGCUCCUACCAAUCAUUAAGGAAAAUAAACAAUCCAAUAGGAAUCCAGGCAAAGAUAUGAACGGACAGCUCACAAAAAGGGAGUACAAAGAACUCUGAGACCAAUGACGUGUGAAAAAGGCUGACUCUCACUCAUCAUGGGAGCCAUGUACAUAGAAUGGCACUGCGCCGCAACCCCAGCCUCAGACUGCUCAAGACUGCCGACGAGGGUGUGCAGCGGGCACACACUGCUGCCUCGUGGGCACAGCGUGCUGUUGUACACAGACCACAGAGAUCACCUUGACCCUGCGCUUCUGAAGGGUGACCUGGCAAUAAUUUAGCACUGCCUCUACUCAGCAAGUCAUCCCAUCUCUACACGGACAAGGCUAUUCCACACGUACCAGAUUGUUCCCUGAAGCAUUUUCAGUAUCACCAAAGAUUUGAAACAGCCCAAGUGUCCUUCACUAGAGGGUGGGCUAAAUAAUUUAUGGUGGAUUGGUACAACUGAACACUAUGCAAUCAUGAAGAAGAGGGGAGGGGAAAGGGUAGUAGGAAGUACUUUUAUGCACUGAUGUGCAUUGAGCUCCAAGAUACAUUUUUAAGUGAAAGUGCAAGGCAUUCCGUAGAAUGGAAUACAAAUGAUUCUUUUAUUUGUAUAAAGGAGAAAAAACAUGAAUAUAUGUGUACACAUAUAUAUACAAAAUACGUAAAUGUAUAUGAUGUACAAAUUCGUAUUUAAUGUACAUAUAUGUUCAUUUUAUUUAUUUUUUUUUAUUUUCUUCAUUUUAAUAUGAACAGUAGCAUAAUCUGUAUUAUGUACACACAAUAUAAGUAGCACCUUAGGUGAAUAGUUGCCGCUUUGAGUCUCAGUUUUCACAUUUAUAAAACGGGAGUUGUAAGAAAAGGGCAGGCAAAGCAAUGAUAGGAAACAGCAAUGGAAGCAGCACCUUAUAUACGUGCCUUAUAUAUUCCAAUGCACGUAUAUAUGAAAAUGGUUCUGCACGUUCACCUCUGGAAGCACGCAGACCCCGUGGCUGCUGCUGGGGAGCAGAGCCAAGAACUUGGAGGCUGGGCCCAUGGCAGGAGGGAGACUUUUCACUGUAGCACAUUGUGCCUUCCGGGUUUUGGUUGUGAAUGUAUUACCUAUUCAAAAAGUAGCUAUCGUUAACUUUCUCAAAAAGAGAGAUGCAAAGGAUAUUUUCAGCUUAGCUGAGGCGGAGGUGGGAGUGGGUCAGGUGGAGAAUGAAGGCAGGGCCUGCAAGGGCAGGUGCCUGGAGACACUGAGGCACACCGGGGGCCAGGUGACUGGCUGUGGUUGGAGCACAGUGUGGGGGAGUCUUGAUAAGAACACGCCUGGCAAGAAACAGGAUGGAUGAAGACAGAUUUAUAUAUCACGGUAAAGAGUCAGGCUUUUAUUGCAAUGAGAGGCUCUUGAGGGAUUUAAUGGGGGCCAGACAUG